AUUGAACGCUGGCGGCAGGCCUAACACAUGCAAGUCGAACGAGGGGCGGACGGGUGAGUAAUGUCUGGGAAACUGCCUGAUGGAGGGGGCUAACUACUGGAAACGGUAGCUAAUACAGCAUACCAUCAGAUGUGCCCAGAUGGGAUUAGCUUGUUGGUGGGGUAACGUCUCACCAAGGCGACGAUCCCUAGCUGGUCUGAGAGGAUGACCAUCCACACUGGAACUGGGACACGUUCCAGACUCCUCCGGGAGGCAGCAGUGGGGAAUAUUGCACAAUGGGCGCAAGCCUGAUGAAGCCAGGCCGCGUGUGUGAAGAAGGCCUUCGGGUUGUAAAGUACUUUCAGCGGGAAGGCGUUACCCGCAGAAGAAGCGCCGGCUAACUCCGUGCCAGCAGCCGCGGUAAUAC
rnacentral:rRNA from 1 species